UACGUAGGUGGCAAGCGUUGUCCGGAUUUACUGGGCGUAAAGAGCGCGCAGGCGGUCGAUUUAGUCGCGUGUGAAAGCCCCCGGCUCAACUGGGGAGGGUCACGCGAUACUGAUCGACUCGAAGGCAGGAGAGGGUAGUGGAAUUCCCGGUGUAGUGGUGAAAUGCGUAGAUAUCAGGAGGAACACCAGUGGCGAAGGCGACUACCUGGCCUGUUCUUGACGCUGAGGAGCGAAAGCGUGGGGAGCAAACAGG
rnacentral:rRNA from 1 species